ACUAGACAUAGAAUUUGGUGGACACCUUGUGCGGCGCAUUGCAUUGAUCUAAUGUUGGAGGAUAUUGCAAAGUUGAAGAUUUUUUCUGAUACAAUUGAGCAUGCUAAGAUGGUUGUGAAGUUCCUUUAUGGUCAUGGGACUAUACUUUCUUUGAUGAGAAAGUAUACAAACGGUAAAGAAAUUCUCCGUCCCGCUGUUACUCGCUUUGCUACUUCAUUUCUCACUCUUCAGAGUAUGUAUAAGGUUAAAAGGCCACUUGAACAAAUGUUUGCUUCCGAAGAUUGGGUUAGUUCACCACUAUCUCAAACAACUCAGGGGAAGGUCGUGAAGAGAAUUGUUAUUAAUGAUCCCAACUUUUGGCCACAUGUUGCAUUUUGUGUUAAGAGUGUUGUUCCUCUUGUAAGUGUGUUAAGGGAAGUUGAUUCGGAGGAGAGAUCGGCCAUGGGAUAUAUUUAUGAACUUAUGGAUAAGGCAAAAGAGACAAUAAAAUUUAAUUGUGGGGGAGUUGACAGAAAAUACAAACCCAUUUGGAAAAAAAUUGAUUCACGAUGGACUCCACAACUUCAUCAUCCUCUACACGCGGCCGGGUACUAUUUGAAUCCACAAUUGCGUUAUGAAGAAAGAUUUUCUUAUUGUGAUGAAGUUAGAGAUGGAUUGUAUACUUGCAUGGAUAGGAUGUUGUCUUCUGAUGAUCGUCUUAAAGCAGACAUCCAAUUGGACUUAUAUGAUAAAGCUGAAGGAGAAUUUGGAACUCCAAUAGCAAAACGAACAAGAAUGUUGCGAACUCCGGGUAAAAUUUUCUUCUUGUAACCGUUCUUGUAAAAUUAUACUAGCAUUCAUAUUUUAAAAUUAUAUACAUUCUUGUAAUUUUUUUUAAUGUUAUUACUUAUUAGUCUCGUGGUGGGAACGUUUUGGAAGUAAGACACCCGAGCUUACUACAUUUGCAAUUCGAGUGCUUGGUCUCACUUGUAGUGCUUCGGGAUGUGAAAGAAAUUGGAGCACUUUUGAAUCGAUUCAUACAAAAAAGAGAAAUAGGCUUGAACAUGCAAAGUUGAAUGCGUUGGUGUUUGUGAAAUAUAACUUCAAGCUUAGGGAGAGAAGUAUUAGGAGGAGAGACAAGAUUGAUCCCAUUGUAGUUGAUGAAAUUAAUUCAGAUGACGAAUGGAUAACUGAGAAAGAAGGUCCAGUUCUCCCCGUAACUACUAAAUGGCUUGAAGAUGAUGAAUUAUUUGAAAGUGAUCCUAUUGUGAGUGUGCCAUCUGCUACCUUUGAAAGUCUUUUUGACUCAGAUAAGCGAGUCGAAGAUGUUGAGGAUAUAGUUGAAGUUCCUCCUACGAAUUCAAAAAAAAGAGUUGCUGAAAAUUCAAGUGGAAGCAAAGACAAACAAGCAAGGUUGAGUCUUGUUGAUGUGGAAGAUAAUCAUCUUGAUGCUGAAAAUUAUGGAGUAAUUCCAACUUUUGA